UACGUAGGGGGCGAGCGUUGUCCGGAAUCAUUGGGCGUAAAGCGCGUGUAGGCGGCCCGGUAAGUCCGCUGUGAAAGUCCAGGGCUCAACCCUGGGAUGCCGGUGGAUACUGUCGGGCUCGAGUCCGGAAGAGGCGAGUGGAAUUCCUGGUGUAGCGGUGAAAUGCGCAGAUAUCUGGAGGAACACCGGUGGCGAAGGCGGCAUCCUGGACCGGUAUUGACGCUGAUGCGCGAAAGCCAGGGGAGCAAACGGG
rnacentral:rRNA from 1 species